rnacentral:rRNA from 1 species
UACGUAGGGUGCGAGCGUUAAUCGGAAUUACUGGGCGUAAAGCGUGCGCAGGCGGUUUGCUAAGACAGGUGUGAAAUCCCCGGGCUUAACCUGGGAACUGCGCUUGUGACUGGCAGGCUAGAGUACGGUAGAGGGGGUGGAAUUCCUGGUGUAGCAGUGAAAUGCGUAGAUAUCAGGAGGAACACCGAUGGCGAAGGCAGCCCCCUGGGCCUGUACUGACGCUCAUGCACGAAAGCGUGGGGAGCAAACAGGAUUAGAUACCCU